UACGUAGGGGGCAAGCGUUGUCCGGAUUUAUUGGGCGUAAAGGGCGCGUAGGCGGCCGAUCAAGUCAGAUGUGAAAGUCCUGGGCUUAACCUGGGGACUGCAUUUGAUACUGAUUGGCUUGAAUGCAGGAGAGGAUAGCGGAAUUCCCAGUGUAGAGGUGAAAUUCGUAGAUAUUGGGAAGAACACCGGUGGCGAAGGCGGCUAUCUGGACUGUGAUUGACGCUGAGGCGCGAAAGCGUGGGGAGCAAACAGG
rnacentral:rRNA from 1 species